UGUGACCAAGGGCCAGGAAGGCUUUGCUGACCUUUUCUGCUCUUUUCUUUGGGGAGCCAGUCUCCGCCCCCUCUUUUCCCACCUUGGCUCCUGCCCAGGCUUGGGGCCGACCUCCUGAACUUUGGCCCAAGGUCAAGGCUUUCACAAGGCCGGAAGCAGUGAAGGUGGGGGCUCAAUUAUGACCAAAAAAUGACAUGGGCUGGAGUUGACCCAGGGUUCAGAGAGAAGAGGAAUGAGGAAAGGCCUGUUUUCAGAGGCUCUGGGAGGACAUAUGCCUGGAGGGAAUGGCCUUCUUCUCAAAGGAAGCAAAGUGCUUAUAUUGAGAGAGGUCCUGAGAGAUCCUAUUUGCUCAUCCUGCUUUUUUUUUGCGGAUGGGGAAACCGAGGCCUAGCAAUGGGAAGGGACUUGGCCAAAGUCACACAGGCCAACCAUCCAGGGAAUAAUGAAGGGCAGCUAAGCCCUUCCUCUCUCGGAGUAACUUCUGACCGGCUGCUCAUCUGUCCUCCCGCUGUCCUCACUUUGGCUGCCCCGGUGGGGAGCUCACCCACAGUGCUGACAUCUCCUGGUUACUUGUGUCUCUCCAACCGGACUGUGAGUCCCUGAGGUCAGGGAUGGGCCCUGUGUCCUGUUCCACAGAUAUGCCCUCAAUAAAGACUACAGUGGAGGGAUGAAAGAUCCUUGCAGUAAGUCCUGCUCAUCACGUGGAAAACAGCCGCCACAAGGAACCUGAGGUCAGAGCAUUUUGGAAUCCCCAUGGUGGACAAAGCCAAAGGAAGUGGACACUCUGGUCUCCCCAGGGAAACAUUUUUCCAGCGAGCAGUAUCAUUCCCUGGACAGGCCACGGAGGACAAGUUCAAGGGUCUUUCCCCCGAGUGUUUCACUGUGAGGAUCUUCAUAAAACAUGAAGUACAAACUUCACGUUCUCACCACAGAGGUGGCUGAAGCAAACAGUA